GUUAUGUCCGGGGGGGCGGCGGGGGAAUUACUGGGGAUCCGAGGGUUAUCAGUAAUGAUUGGGUUUAAAGGGGUCGUAGGCGGCUUUGGAAGUCAGUGGUGAAAUUUCCUAGCUUAACUAGGAAACUGCCAUUGAUACUGCAGAGCUUGAAUAAUAUGGAAGUAACUAGAAUAUGUAGUGUAGCGGUGAAAUGCUUAGAUAUUACAUGGAAUACCAAUUGCGAAGGCAGGUUACUACGUAUUUAUUGACGCUGAUGAACGAAAGCGUGGGGAGCGAACAGGAUUAGAUACCCCAGUAGUC
rnacentral:rRNA from 1 species